UACAGAGGUCUCAAGCGUUGUUCGGAUUCAUUGGGCGUAAAGGGUGCGUAGGCGGCUUUGUAAGUCAGUGGUGAAAUACGGUAGCUUAACUAUCGAGGUGCCAUUGAUACUGCAGAGCUUGAGUACAGAUGAGGUAGGCGGAAUUGACGGUGUAGCGGUGAAAUGCUUAGAUAUCGUCAAGAACACCUAUAGCGAAGGCAGCUUACUAGGCUGUAACUGACGUUGAGGCACGAAAGUGUGGGGAUCAAACAGG
rnacentral:rRNA from 1 species